GGCCACCCAAUCAGGGCACUGCUCCUACAGGUCUGGCCAAUCAGAGUGUGGUCCUCAAAGAUCCUUUCCAUGCAGGGUACUGCAGGACAUCUCCUGGAGCACCUGCUAUGUGUACUGGAGAGCCAUGGCAGCAAAGCAAAGUCCCUAAGAUCACAGUGUUCAUGAUCUGGGGAGAAACCAGAAUGCCAAGGUGCGAUGGAGGAGUGUGAGUGCUGAAGAGCACGGUAGAUGUGUUGCUCAAGUUGCCUGUCCCCUGCCAACCUGAUGUCCUCUGUGCUUCGGUGGCUGUGUGCUCUUCAAGUGGCAUGUGAAGCCAGCACUCUGCCCCCCCACAAAAACAAGACACCACAGCCACCACACGGGAAUCAGGGUGAGCGAGGCGGACACCCAAGAUGGGGUGGGAGGGGACCCCAAGCCAGGCUGAAGGGUCCUCUAUCAGUGUAUCUGCUGGUUCCCAGCAGAGGCAGGACACCUUCUCCAGGGCAGCGCAGCACCCAGGUGCAGAGACCUACUCAGCCCAUGGACAUGAUCAUAGCUGAGGAGAGGACAGAAGAGCGAGGCCGGGAGCGGCUGAGGGUUAAGGAGGGAUAGUGGCUGCCAUUUUUGCCAAUCAGAGACAGCACAUGGAGAUCUAGACUCUUGGUUUUUUGGAAAACACAGAAUUUGGAGCAAUACCGGGCAAUUGGCUCAGAUCCCCCUGAGUGCCGGGCUCAAGCGCCCCAUCCUGAGGAGGGAAGCUGAGCUGACCCACUGUCCAGCACCGGGCCACAGAGCAGAUGCUGCCCUUGGGCUGAGUCCCUUGUAGAGCAAGCCAGCACCACGAGGGACCACCAGGGAGCUCCAGGCCGGAGCCUGGGACACUUCCGAGCUCAGACACCAGAGGGCGCGCUGGGGUGCAGGUGCCGGUGCCAGAUGGACAACGCCCCAGUCUUCCAGGGACAGCGUCCCUCUCGCGGCUUCUCUGGCAGCACCAUCCACCAGUUUGGGUCUUAAUUUGAAAGGUCUUUGGUUGACACUUAACUGCCACCUCGUUAUGGGUGCAGCGUUCAAUGAUCAAAUCAGGCGAUCAGCAACUUUAUCACCUUAAACAUCCAUCCACCCAUGGCGGUGAGAGUAUUUAAACAUUUCUUUGCUUUUUAAAAAAACAGACACUAAAAUAUUGCUCGGUGCCACUGGCCCUCUGCAACCCAGCACACCAGCACCUUCUCGCCCUGUAACUGUGAACUGCCGCUUCUUAGAACGGCUGGUAUGCACACUGGGACCCUGACGGCCCCAAGCACACAAGAGACAGGCUGGCAAGCGGCUCUGGGUCAAGCGAGCACCUUCAAGAUGGGUUGUGGAGGUGGUGAGCCCUCAGGGAGGGCUCUCUUCCACCCGGAAGAAGGUGGAACCCACGGGCAAUGGCUCCUGGCCUUGUGUCCUGCCCUGUGGGUCCCUGAUCUGGGCUUGGGGGACAGGAGUGGGGAGCCCAGUGUGACCUAUCUCUUCCCAGUCACCUCUCCCUUCAUACGAUCACUCACUCAUUUAACACACAUGAGCCUGAACAUGGCGCAUGUGCAAGAGCCAUGCGAGGUAUGGUGGCUUUACUGAGGAACACGAACUCUGCUGCCACACUCCUGCCAUGAGCACAGGGCACGGCGUGGGCCUGCGUGACCGUGCUGGGAGGGACAGUCCAGCAGUGUGGCCAGUCACUGCAGCGCUGAGAGAUGGCCUGGACCUGGCUGUCGCAGGUCCUGAGGUCCCAGUGGUUCCUCACAUGCCAUCCGGGACAAGUCCUGAGGGUGGAUGUCGUCAGACAUGGGACUCCAGCGGGCAGGGAG
rnacentral:lncRNA from 1 species